rnacentral:ribozyme from 12 species
UGUAAGCUCGCAUUGGGUGACGCACAAAAAAACAAACAAACAAACAAACAAAUAAACAAACAAACAAAAAGAAA